CGUUUUGACCCGAACCCGUUUUGACCCAUGACCCGACCCGACCCAACCCAUUUGCCAGGACGUUGCAUCCGACACAGGUUCGACUAUGGAGCCAUAAUCUUCCUAGAUGAGCGCUUCCGCCAAGAAAAAAUCUAACCUACAUUUCAAAGUGGAUAAGAAAAUCCAUCAGAAAGCUUGACAAUUUGACAAGUCAUUAGAGGGACUAAAGUCGUUUUUCAGAGACGUCAAGGAUGAGAAUAAUGGAAGUUCUAUGAAGCCGAUUGAUGUUACACCUAUUGAUUUUGAGGAGCCAUGGAACUGGUUCACAGAUAUGAAGAACGCUAAAUCAACUAAGCCCAACCUGAAAGCACAAAGAUCUGUGUCAGAUGAUGUCAUAGAACCAGAAUUUACAACUAAACCGAAGAAAUCUGUGGUUAUGACAAAAGGGUUUGACUGUUCGUCACCACCGCCAAUGAUUUCAUCACCUAAUGAACACAAUCAUCCUAGAUCAACUUCUGUAGUGCAACCCAGCAAAACACUUGCAACGACGCUUUCUUUGCACUACCUCAAUUACUAGCUGGGAUGAACAGACUUCUGCAGUGCAACCCAGCAAAACACUUGCAACGUGGCACUAUGUAUAAAACUAGUUUAAA